UAUCCCCACUGUCACGAGGUGAUACAUAGCUGUAGCUACAGAGUUGAGUAUAUCCCAGUCUUUCAGGCACCCGCUGUGAGUCUGGAACAUCUGCCCCCCCCAGCUAAUAAUUGUACCAACGACAGUGUCUACUUACAGCAAGGAACUGAAUCCAAUCUGACCGGUGGAUAACGUGCUGAGCCAGACAGGAAGUGCCAUUGCAUCCAACCGGAAACACCCAGAAAUCCACUGUGGCUGUCUAGAUGCCCAUGUUCCUGGGGAACUGCUCCUCGGCUCCCUUGUCCACACAGAGGAUGACUUUGCCAAGCUCCUUGGGAAGGCUGGGGUGCUCUGCUCCCUUGUGUAAGACAGAGCUUCAUCUGCUUUUCCCACAGACACUCUUUGGGAACCUUUCUUGGCACACUAAAGCAAGACACACAACCUCUCCACCUGCGUGGAGCUUCCAUUUUGCUGUAAAUGGCAAAAAAUAAACUUAUAAACUAGCAAAUAAACCAUAAAUCCCUAACUGUGGUGAAUAUUGAGAAGAAAUAAGAUAGGGUAGCCAAGGAGUGUCACAUGUGGAACCCUGGGGGGAAAAAUGACACCGAAGGACCAGAAAAAUCCAGGGAUGGAACACCUGAGAAGUGUGUUGAGCCAAUAUGUGAUGAGCCAACAAAAAUGUUCCCAACAGUUGGUCCAGAACUAGGUUAGUGACCCAUAUCAGUCUGAAACUUUUUACUGGAAGCCAAAAAGAGAGUAGUUUUCAGAGGUCAUGGAGAGCCUGCCAAUGCUAAUCUUUUCUGUAGGGUGGAGACAAUGAAGUUAAAAGAGGUCCCUGGAUCCAAUUGCUCCUGGAGCUGCCCCAGCAGAUACAGAGUGUGCCCAGCCCCUCAAAACCGCUUUCAAGAAGUGGCCUGCUCUGUCCAUGAGGAAACACUGCACUGUGAUCAGAGCCUCGAGCUAUGAGAUUCAGCGGGACAUACCUUUCUUCAGGCUGAGGUCACAUUCUUCUUAGGAGACCCUAUCUAAUGACCUUGGUCCAUGACCCCAGUGAAGGUCAGAUUUAUCUGUCUCCACAAUCUCAAGGUGCAAGGCUUUAUUCCCAUGAUCCUCAAGUCUCUCAGUUCAUAACACUCCUGGUGCCUUGGUUUUUGGUUUUUGUUUUUGUUUUUGUUGUUGUUGUUUUUAUGGCACCCCCUAAACCAAAAGAAAUGC